rnacentral:lncRNA from 1 species
CAGGUGUGGCGUGGUUUUCAAUGCCUUUCUAGACAGCUCUGGCUACUACAGACAUCAGCGGAGGGCCAGACAGCCCGAGAUCCUGCUUUUGCUUUUCUAUUUCAGUGACUCCAUCAGUAUCUGAUGAGAGACCUGAGACCUCACAGCAGUCACCCACAGAGUUAAGCCACUGUAUCUGGGAGGGGUAAGGAAAUCCUUGGCCAGAUACAGUUGUAAAGAACAGGUUAUUUCCCUCACUCUGUAUCUCCAUUUUGAAAUCAAACUUCUGCCAGACACAGAGGGAAUCUCCAAGGCUCCUUUGUAACCUCAUUACAGCAAUGAUUUCUGCCUCAGAGAGGCAGGAAGGGCCCAGGAAAACAAAUCAGUGUUUUUAGAGGAAGAGAAAUGCUGAACUAUGAGGCCUGGGCACGUGAGCAAGCUGUGACUUAACAAGAUACUGCAUAUGCCUGUUACUGCCUGUUAAUUGAUCACACGUCUCUUCUUUAUAUGGAAUGAAAUGUGCUAGCUUAAGCCUUUAAAAUGAGCUUUAACUUGCAUGUGACAUGUUAUAGGUGCAUAUGGCGGUAGUGCUGCUGCAGGGUAAUUAUUUUUCCUCACAGAAAUGAGUGCAUUGCCACUGGAAAGUUAUUCUGGGUAUUUCCUAGCCCAAAAAAAUGGACAAAGUAGCAUGAGUUCAGAGAGAAGUAGCAGGAAUCAUAGGGUAUGGCUUGAUUUCAGAGCCCAUCUGGACUAAAAGCAGAUACUGUAUUCAUGCAGGUUCAAAAAUCUAAUUCAAACUCAGACAUGUCAAAACAAGUUAAACAUCCACUUUCUACAAACAGCCUAAUAGCUAAGCAUAGUCACCACAAACGUCUGGGCAGAGCAACGUUAACCUGAAUGCUGGAAUAUUUGCCAGAUUUAUCAGGAAGGAGUAAAGGAGCGAAUGUGCAGUGCUUGGCUGAAAAUAAGCUCGGUGGAAGGAAGGUGCUUGGGUCCACAAAUAUCUGUAAACGCUAAAAUGAGCUUCAGAGGAAGAGUCCCUCUAUAUCGAAAUAGGAUAUUCAGCUCAACAUAUGUCCUAACAGCAUUUCGGAAAACCCAGAAACAAAAAAUACACUAGACGCAAUCAAAGUAUAAACAACAUCUGCCACUGAAAGUCAGCGCUGUCACUGAGGAUGGGAGUUGCAGCCCACAGGCCCACCAGCACUAAACCAACCUGCCUAAUUUGAUCAGAGAAUUGCUUUGUGGUUGGAUUCAGUUAGCAAGACCAUAUGCAAAUAGGCCCCAGAGCAAAUUAUACCAUUUCACCAACGUAAGCAUACCUUACCUGAAUCAUAGAGGAUCUGUUGUUACAUAAUGAAUCAAAUGUCUUCCCUGUAAUUAUUUAGCCAGUUCCCUCAUGGUACAGGAGAUGCACAUGCUGUCUGCAUCACACAGGAAAUGCCCUGGCUCUCAGCAUAGCAUCAGCCACAUACAGGCAUCGCUAUGCACCACAGAAGUGGGGAAUUAUUUAGCAUCCCUGCUGAUACAUGCUAAAUAGCACAUCACAUUCUGGAUUUAUGCUGGCCAUUCAUUGCUUUUCUUCAGUAAAGCUCUUGCCAGCUCUUUAACUAUUUCAGCUUAAAUGCCUCCUCACUGGAGCUCCGGAGGCUGCCAGUGUGAAUGAAGAACCAUUGGGCUGCUAGACUACCAGGCAGCUGAAAUACCUGCCUGAUUACCACUGGCAGGGGAGAAGAGGGGAAAAUUUCAGGAGAACAUGAGUAACGAAGAUGUUCUAAGUUCACAGUGUGCAAUGAUUGUAGCCAGCAUUAAACUUAUUUUGUAGCUGCACAGAGUCAGUGACUGACUUAUAUUGCUGGUUUACAUGAAGUCUGCUUUUAUUUAUUGUUAUCUACGAAAUCAAAAGCCUCUGAUGUUUAUGCACUAACUUCAUUAAAGUGUAAUACCUCUUACCAUGCAGCUCAUUGUAAUGGGUUUGCUGCUGUGUACAUGUGUUUUCCAGGAAGUUUCUAACUGUACUGGUUGUGCUGAUUGCAGGAGCUGUUAUCAAUCAACUGUUUUUAAAGAGACAUUGAUAUAUACGACCUGUUUAAUGGAUUUGUUUUAAACCUAAAUUUCAU